GUUGAAAACGGCGGCGAUGACCUGCGGAUAGGGGUGAAAGGCCAAUCAAACCCGGUGAUAGCUGGUUCUCCCCGAAAUAUAUUGAGGUAUAGCCUCAUGGAUUGUCUACCGGAGGUAAAGCACUGACAGGGCUAGGGGUCCUACCAGAUUACCAAACCCUAUCAAACUCAGAAUGCCGGUCAGAUGUACCAUGGGAGUCAGACGGCGGGUGCUAAGGUCCGUCGUCGAGAGGGUAAGAGCCCAGAUCAACAGCUAAGGUCUCCAAAUCUAUGCUCAGUGGUUAAGGUGGUGACGUUGUAGAGACACCCAGGACGUUGGCUUAGAAGCAGCCAUCGUUUAAAGAAAGCGUAAUAGCUCACUGGUCUAAUGACGUUGCGCCGAAAAUGUAACGGGGCUAAGCAUAGUACCGAAGCUUUGAAUUCCGCAUAUGCGGUCUGGUAGGGGAGCGUUCUUCACGGGCUGAAGGUGUGUCGUAAGGCAUGCUGGACUGUGGAGAAGUGAUUAUGCUGACAUGAGUAACGAUAAAACGGGUGAAAAACCCGUUCGCCGUAAACCCAAGGUUUUCCGGGUAAAGGUAAUCUUCCCGGAGUUAGUCGGCCCCUAAGGCGAGGCUGAAAGGCGUAGCUGAUGGGAAACGUGUUAAUAUUCACGUACUUGUGUGUUCGCGCGAUGAAGGGACGCAGGAAGAUAGGCAAGCCGGGCGCUGGUUGUCCCGGUGCAAGCGUGUAGGGAUGAAGAGUUGGCAAAUCCGCUCUUCUCUAUCCUGAGACGCGAGUCCGUGACCGAAAGGUCUGAAGUUGUUGAGUCUAUGCUGCCUAGAAAAGCUUCUAAGUAUAGGACACGCAAACCGUACCGGAAACCAACUCAGGUGGGUGGGAUGAACAAUCCAAGGCGCUCGAGAGAACUCUGGCCAAGGAACUCGGCAAAAUAACCCCGUACCUUCGGAAGAAGGGGUGCUUUUUAGGGUGAAGCGAUUCACUCUGUCGAGCCCUGAAAAGCCGCAGAGAAAUGGUGGUGGCGACUGUUUACUAAAAACAUAGGUCUGUGCCAAGUCGUAUAGACGACGUAUACGGACUGACGCCUGCCCGGUGCUGGAAGGUUAAAAGGAGGAGUCAGCGCAAGCGAAGCUCCGAAUUGAAGCCCCAGUAAACGGCGGCCGUAACUAUAACGGUCCUAAGGUAGCGAAAUUCCUUGUCGGGUAAGUUCCGACCUGCACGAAUGGCGUAACGAUCUCCACACUGUCUCGGCCAGAGACUCGGUGAAAUUGAAGUCGCGGUGAAAAUGCCGUGUACCCGCAGAAAGACGGAAAGACCCUGUGCACCUUUACUAUAGCUUGACAUUGGGAUUUGAGCCUGCAUGUGUAGCAUAGGUGGGAGGCUGUGAACUCUGUACGCCAGUAUGGAGGGAGCCAUCGUUGAAAUACCACCCUUGUUUGUUCAGGUCCCUAACUCCUUGCCGUGAUCCGGCAGGAGGACAGUGUCUGGUGGGUAGUUUGACUGGGGCGGUCGCCUCCCAAAAUGUAACGGAGGCAUGCAAAGGUUCCCUCAGGCUGAUUGGAAACCAGCCGUCGAGUGCAAACGCAAAAGGGAGCUUGACUGCAAGAGAGACAUCUCGAGCAGGUACGAAAGUAGGUGUUAGUGAUCCGGUGAUCCCGAAUGGAAGGGUCAUCGCUCAUUGGAUAAAAGGUACGCCGGGGAUAACAGGCUGAUCGCAUCCAAGAGUUCACAUCGACGAUGCGGUUUGGCACCUCGAUGUCGGCUCAUCACAUCCUGGGGCUGAAGCAGGUCCCAAGGGUACGGCUGUUCGCCGUUUAAAGUGGUACGCGAGCUGGGUUUAAAACGUCGUGAGACAGUUUGGUCCCUAUCUUCUGUGGGCGUAGGAGAAUUGAAAGGGCCUGUCCCUAGUACGAGA
rnacentral:rRNA from 1 species